UUGAUAAAGAGUUUGAUCCUGGCUCAGGACGAACGCUGGCGGCGCGCCUAACACAUGCAAGUCGAACGGACACAUCCGACGGAAUAGCUUGCUAGGAAGAUGGAUGUUGUUAGUGGCGGACGGGUGAGUAACACGUGAGCAACCUGCCUCGGAGUGGGGGACAACAGUUGGAAACGACUGCUAAUACCGCAUACGGUGGUCGGGGGACAUCCCCUGACCAAGAAAGGAUUUAUAUCCGCUCUGAGAUGGGCUCGCGUCUGAUUAGCUAGUUGGCGGGGUAACGGCCCACCAAGGCAACGAUCAGUAGCCGGACUGAGAGGUUGAACGGCCACAUUGGGACUGAGACACGGCCCAGACUCCUACGGGAGGCAGCAGUGGGGAAUAUUGCACAAUGGGGGGAACCCUGAUGCAGCGACGCCGCGUGAGGGAAGAAGGUUUUCGGAUUGUAAACCUCUGUCUUGUGGGACGAUAAUGACGGUACCACAGGAGGAAGCCAUGGCUAACUACGUGCCAGCAGCCGCGGUAAUACGUAGAUGGCGAGCGUUGUCCGGAAUUACUGGGUGUAAAGGGAGUGUAGGCGGGAUCAUAAGUUGCGUGUGAAAUGCAGGGGCUCAACCCCUGAACUGCGCGCAAAACUGUGGUUCUUGAGUGAAGUAGAGGCAGGCGGAAUUCCCGGUGUAGCGGUGGAAUGCGUAGAUAUCGGGAGGAACACCAGUGGCGAAGGCGGCCUGCUGGGCUUUUACUGACGCUGAGGCUCGAAAGCAUGGGGAGCAAACAGGAUUAGAUACCCUGGUAGUCCAUGCCGUAAACGAUGAUUACUAGGUGUGGGGGGAUAACCCCCUCCGUGCCGGAGUUAACACAAUAAGUAAUCCACCUGGGGAGUACGACCGCAAGGUUGAAACUCAAAGGAAUUGACGGGGGCCCGCAC
rnacentral:rRNA from 1 species